rnacentral:rRNA from 1 species
GGGAAUAUUGCACAAUGGGCGGAAACACCUGAUGCAGCAACGCCGCGUGAGUGAUGACGGCCUUCGGGUUGUAAAGCUCUGUCUUCAGGGAACGAUCAAUGACGGUACCUGAGGAGGAAGCCACGGCUAACUACGUGCCAGCAGCCGCGGUAAUACGUAGGUGGCAAGCGUUGUCCGGAUUUACUGGGCGUAAAGGGAGCGUAGAGCGGACUUUUAAGUGGGAUGUGAAAUACCCGGGCUUAACCCUGGGUGCUGCAUUCCAAACUGUGAUUCUAGAGUGCAGGAGGGGAAAGUGGAAUUCCUAGUGUAGCGGUGAAAUGCGUAGAGAUUAGGAAGAACACCCGGUGGCGGAAAGGCGACUUUCUGGACUGUAACUGACGCUGACGCUCGAAAGCGUGGGGAGCGAACAGGAUUAGAUACCCUGGUAGUCCACCCCGUUAACAACGAAUAUUAGGUGUAGGGGUUGUCAUGACCUCUGUGCCGCCGCUAACGCAUUAACGUAUUCCGCCUGGGGAGUACGGUCGC